AGGAGGGAAAAAACACUUUUUGCAACUGUGUGAUCAGGCCUUCUGGUAAUUUUAUCAAUUUAAGGAAUUUUAAGGAAAUCUGAGGAAUUUUCGAGCUUUUUCUAAGGAAUUCGAAAAUUUGAUUGUGAGAACACUGACGGGCUUAUUUAAUACAUUUUCAUGAUGCAAACUGACAUGGACAAUAUUUUCAAUAAUGGGCUAUUCCAUUUAAUAUCCGUACCCCCCCUGUCGAGGAUCCCUGGAAUUCUUCAGGGGUAAAGGGUUUUGAGCUUGGAAUUCUUCAGGGGUAAAGGGUUUUGAGCUUGGAAUUCUUCAGGGGUAAAGUGUUUUGAGUUUGGAAUUCUUCAGGGGUAAAGGGUUUUGAGCUUGUAAUUCUUCAGGGGGGAAGGGUUUUGAGCUUGGAAUUCUUCAGGGGUAAAGGGGUUUGACUUUGAAAUUUUUCAGAGCUUGGAAUUCUUCAGGGCUGAAGGGUUUUCAGCUUGGAAUUAUUCAAGGGUAAAAGGUUUUGAGCUUGGAAUUCUUCAGGGGUAAAGGGUUUUGAGCUUGGAAUUCUUCAGGGGUAAAGGGUUUUGAGCUUGGAAUUCUUCAGGGGUAAAGGGUUUUGAGCUUGGAAUCUUGGAAUUCUUCAGGGGUAAAAGGUUUUGAGCUUGGAAUUCUUCAGGGGUAAAGGAUUUUGAGCUUGGAAUUUUGGAAUUCUUCAGGGGUAAAAGGUUUUGAGCUUGGAAUUCUUCAGGGGUAUAACCAUGAAAACCAUGUAUCCUCGACAGGGGGUGUACGGAUAUUAAAUGGAAUAGCCC